ACCGCUUAGCUCGGGGAUUAGAGCAUUACACUUGUAAGGCGAUGGUCAUCGGUUCGAGUCCGAUAGGCGGUU
rnacentral:tRNA from 1 species